rnacentral:rRNA from 1 species
GAUGAACGCUAGCGGCAGGCCUAACACAUGCAAGUCGAGGGAGGAGCUUUCGGGCUUCGACCGGCGUACGGGUGCGUAACGCGUAUACAAUCUGCCUUUCACAUAGCGAUAGCCCGAAGGAAUUUGGAUUAAUACCUAAUGGUAUAUAGAGGUGGCAUCACCUUUAUAUUAAAGCUGAGGCGGUGAAAGAUGAGUAUGCGUUCUAUUACUUGUUCGAGAAGUAACGGCUCCCCAAGGCCGCGAUAGGUAAGGGUUGCGAGAGGGAUAUCCCCCACACUGGGACUGCGAUACGGACCAGAAUCCUACGGGAGGCAGCAGUGAGGAAUAUUGGACAAUGGUCGGAAGCCUGAUCCAGCCAUGCCGCGUGCAGGAAGACGGCCUUAGGGGUUGUAAACUGCUUUUGCAGGGGAAGAAUAAGGACUACGCGUAGUUUGAUGACGGUACUCUGCGAAUAAGCAUCGGCUAACUCCGUG